ncrna:Parvimonas sp. oral taxon 393 str. F0440 dfrA-dnaX RNA
AUGCCAAAUGAUAAAGCUGUAAUUAUUUCAUCAUAAUUACCAAAAUUUAAUUAUAAAAAAGAGAUUAUGAUAUAAU